rnacentral:rRNA from 1 species
AAGACCUUGCGCUUUUAGAGCGGCCGAUGCCUGAUUAGCUUGUUGGUGAGGUAAAAGCUUACCAAGGCUUCGAUCAGUAGCUGGUCUGAGAGGACGACCAGCCACACUGGGACUGAGACACGGCCCAGACUCCUACGGGAGGCAGCAGUGGGGAAUUUUGGACAAUGGGGGCAACCCUGAUCCAGCCAUGCCGCGUGAGUGAAGAAGGCCUUCGGGUUGUAAAGCUCUUUCAGCCGGAACGAAACGGUUACGGUUAAUACCCGUGACUACUGACGGUACCGGAAGAAGAAGCACCGGCUAACUACGUGCCAGCAGCCGCGGUAAUACGUAGGGUGCGAGCGUUAAUCGGAAUUACUGGGCGUAAAGCGUGCGCAGGUGGUUUUGUAAGUCAGAUGUGAAAUCCCCGGGCUUAACCUGGGAACU